CUGUUCAGAUAGCCAUGCACGUCUAGUACAAACUAAAUGAUGGUGAAACUGCAAAUGGCUCAUUACAACGGUUAUGAUGUACCCGGGAGUUCCGAUGGAUAUUUCCAGUAACACUAGAACUAAUACAUGUCCCUGCGUUUAUUAGUUUCGCACAGUCCGUCGCUGAGUCAUGGUAAACAGUUGAUCGACUCGACGUCCCGGAACAGUUUCCGCCCCAUCAGCUUCGAUGGUUGGGUAUUGGCCUACCAUUGCAACAACGGGUAACGAGGAAUUAGGGUUUGAUUUCGGAGAGGGAGCCUGAGAAACGGCUACCACAUCUACGGAUGGCAGCAGGCGCGCAAAUUACCCAAUGCAGACACUGUGAGGUAGUGACGAGAAAUAAUAAAGCGGGACUUCUGUUUCGCUAUUAUAAUGAGGAAUAACCAAAGGUCAUUCCGAUUAGCAACUGAUGGGAAAGUCUGGUGCCAGCAGCCGCGGUAAUACCAGCGUCAGUAGCAUAU
rnacentral:rRNA from 1 species